rnacentral:tRNA from 1 species
GCCGGAGUGGUGGAAUAGGUAGACACGCUGUCUUGAGGGGGCAGUAGCGGUUACGCUGUGCCGGUUCAAAUCCGGCCUUCGGCA